ACGGAUCUAGAAGCAUUGAGCUUGGGAGUUCCAAUGGUUGGACUACCACAGUGGACAGAUCAAACCACUAAUGCUAAGUAUGUUGAGGAUGUUUGGGAAGUAAGAAUUAGAACUCGGGUUGAUGGCAAAGGGAUUGUAAGAAAAGAAGAGGUAGAGCUUUGCAUAUGGGAAAUUAUGGAGGGAAAGAGAAAGGAAGUGAUUAAGAAUAAUGCCAUCAAAUGGAAGAGUUUGGCUAAAGAAGUAGUGGAUAAAGGUGGAACUACAAAUUCAUCAAUAUUAUUAUAUGAACUUCCACCUUUAUCCACUGCUUCUUUAGCCAAUCGCUUCCAUUUGAUGACAUUCUUCUUAAUCAGUUCCCCUCUCUUUCCCUCCAUAAUUUCCCUUAUGCAAAGCUCUAGCUCUU